rnacentral:lncRNA from 1 species
CAAAGUCGAUACGUUCCAGCAUUCGGUACUUCGAUGACUUGAUACGCUCCUUCCCAAUUAGGCAUGAGUUCCCUGUAUUUUGAGGAGUAAAAGCCCUGAUCUCCCGAAGGACCAGGUCCCAAACCUCAAACCUUCGCUGCCUAACUUUCUGAUUGUAAUGCUAAGCAGUCCUUUGUAGUGAAACAUCCAACCUCAUCAUUGUCGAUUCCUGAACUUCAUCUAAUAAGUUUAAGUUUAACCGAAGACCUUCAUCAUUAUAUAACUUCUUGAACUGACUAACCCAAAGCGAGGGAGACCCAAUUUUUAUCGAAA